AGUGUAGCCUGUCUACUGGGAACUC
rnacentral:piRNA from 1 species